rnacentral:rRNA from 1 species
UACGAAGGGGGCUAGCGUUGCUCGGAAUCACUGGGCGUAAAGGGUGCGUAGGCGGGUCUUUAAGUCAGGGGUGAAAUCCUGGAGCUCAACUCCAGAACUGCCUUUGAUACUGAAGAUCUUGAGUUCGGGAGAGGUGAGUGGAACUGCGAGUGUAGAGGUGAAAUUCGUAGAUAUCGGAAGGAACACCAGUGGCGAAAGCGGCUUCCUGGUCCAGCACCGACGUUCAGGCACGAAAGCGUGGGGAGCAAACAGG